rnacentral:rRNA from 1 species
AGGAUUCCCCUAGUAACUGCGAGUGAAGCGGGAAAAGCUCAAAUUUAAAAUCUGGUAGUCUUUGGCUGCCCGAGUUGUAAUCUAGAGAAGCAUUAUCCGCGCUGGACCGUGUACAAGUGUCCUGGAAUGGACCAUCAUAGAGGGUGAGAAUCCCGUCUUUGACACGGACUCCCAGGGCUUUGUGAUGUGCUCUCAAAGAGUCGAGUUGUUUGGGAAUGCAGCUCUAAAUGGGUGGUAAAUUCCAUCUAAAGCUAAAUAUUGGCGAGAGACCGAUAGCGAACAAGUACCGUGAGGGAAAGAUGAAAAGAACUUUGGAAAGAGAGUUAAACAGUACGUGAAAUUGCUGAAAGGGAAACGCUUGAAGUCAGUCGCGUUGGCUGGGGAUCAACCUUGCUUUUUUUGCUUGGCUUACUUCCCAGUUGACGGGUCAGCAUCAGUUUUGAACAGUGGAUAAAGGUUGAGGGAAUGUGGCACCUUCGGGUGUGUUAUAGCCCUUGGUCAUAUACAUUGAUUGG